AACAAACGCUGGCGGCGUGCCUAACACAUGCAAGUCGUACGAGAAAGUCGGCUUCGGCCGAUGAGUACAGUGGCGCACGGGUGAGUAGCGCGUGGGUAAUCUGCCCCCCGGUCAGGAAUAACCCGCCGAAAGGCGGGCUAAUACCCGAUAACACUGACGCUCCGCGGAGCGUCUUUCAAAGAAGGCCUCUGUUUACAAGCUUUCGCCGGAGGAUGAGCCCGCGUACCAUUAGCUAGUUGGCAGGGUAAUGGCCUACCAAGGCUACGAUGGUUAGCUGGUCUGAGAGGAUGGCCAGCCACACUGGAACUGAGACACGGUCCAGACUCCUACGGGAGGCAGCAGUGAGGAAUCUUGCGCAAUGGGGGAAACCCUGACGCAGCAACGCCGCGUGAGCGAAGAAGGCCUUCGGGUUGUAAAGCUCUGUUGUAAGGGACGAAUGUCGCGAUCAAUAAUACGGAUUGCGAAUGACGGUACCUUACCAGCAAGCCCCGGCUAACUACGUG
rnacentral:rRNA from 1 species